UACGUAGGGACCAAGCGUUGUUCGGAUUUACUGGGCGUAAAGGGCGCGUAGGCGGCAAUUCAAGUCAGCUGUGAAAUCUCCGGGCUUAACUCGGAACGGUCAGCUGAUACUGCUUUGCUAGAGUGCAGAAGGGGCAAUCGGAAUUCUUGGUGUAGCGGUGAAAUGCGUAGAUAUCAAGAGGAACACCUGCGGCGAAGGCGGGUUGCUGGGCCGACACUGACGCUGAAGCGCGAAAGCUAGGGGAGCGAACGGG
rnacentral:rRNA from 1 species